AGCGGGACUCAAUCCUGACUGAGCCUGUCGGCGACGUGUCUGUGCGAGCGCCGGGGCUGAGAAAAGCGACAUCACAGACUGCACCCGGAGAAUGUCUGGUUCGGCGCUCGAGGACCGGGGUUCGAUUCCCCGCAGCUCCACUC
rnacentral:tmRNA from 1 species